AUAAAUCUGAAGAAAAUCACUAGCAUGUAGGUGCUUUUUCUGGCCUCAUAACUAUUUUUAUACAUGCACAGAAACUAAUAUAUCAUCACAAAUAAAGCAGUGCAUUGUGCUUUAUUUCAUGGUGUUUACAGAGAAAAACAAGCUUUUUAACCACCUGGCAAGUAUUUCAGGAAAAAAGAAAGAAAGAAAGAAAGAAAGAAAGAAAGAAAGAAAGAAAGAAAGAAAGAAAGAAAGAAAGAAAGAAAGAAAGAAAGAAAGAAAGAAAGAAAGAAAGAAAGAAAGAAAGAAAGAAAGAAAGAAAGAAAGAAAGAAAGAAAGAAAAAGAAGGCCUGAAAAAGCAAAGCAUUAGAAAGCUAGGGGGGAGGGGAAGCUGGGGACAGCUCAUUUGCACAUGUAAAAAUGCAAAUUUUAUCCAUGUCUUUCUUAUCUAGUGGUAACAGACUUGGCUCAUGGAGCACAAUAGCACCUACAGUUCUGUGGCCAAAAAUAAUGAAGUUUAAGAAGAAUUGAUUGGAUUAUGGAAACAUUUCUAUAAAGCCAUGUGUGCAUCAGCAGAUGCCCACCACCUACUUAGGAACCGAUGGCACGAAAAGCCUGAAAGGAGGAUGCAGCCCUCUGGUUCUGAGACACAGAUGCAUUUAGAGGAGCUGAAAUCAGCUACAGAUCUAUUACCCCAAAUGGAAACUACUACAGUAGCCCAUGCAUUGCGGAGUGAGCACAGUGAGGCUGCACUGUUCUGAGAGCAAGAGUAGGAGGGGGCAUUUACUCAGAGGACAGCAUGUGCCAUCCCAUAUCAGAAGGGCACUCAAAGAAACCACUCAUUAGAAAAAACACAGACUGCUCCUCUGCCUGUGACCAUCCUGCUCCACCAAGGAAGCUGUGACCAGGGUGACAGGGUUCACUCCUUUCAAGCUUGUUCUUCACCAUCUCUGCAGCACCUGUCCCUGCACUCCUGCCGCACAGGGCUUGGGAUCAUGCCUUGGCCUUGUGCAGAGGUGUGAUUCUUACCAUCACAGUGCACUGCAUCAUGAUGAAAGAUGCUUUGGACCUUACAACUGCAGGAAACAUGAGACAGGGGUCAGCUCGUGGCUCAGUGGAUGAGAUCAAAAUCCUCCUUGAUGCCAGUAGAAUUUCUCUUCGGGGAUCACAUCAGACAUAAGUAAUGGAGCCCACCAGACAGUUAAUAAUGGGGCGAGAGGAGAGGAUUUUGUUCUGUGAUUAUAUUUUGUCUUUUAAACAUGUAUCAAACCCAUGAAUUUUAAUGAACAUCUUUUUCUUCUUUUUUUUUUUUCUCCUAUGGACAUUACAGAGUAAUAUUUUUAUAUUACACAUCCUAUCUUUUAAAAGGAGUUUUCCCUGUUCUCCAAACCAAACAGUUUUUGCCGAAUCAAGUCUCCUUGUUUCAGUUCUUCAACUCUGAACAGUAGGAGCUAUGAUCUCUUCCCAGUUCCUCAGUCAAAUGUAUCUGAGAUUAUUUCAGUGCUGAACGAAACCCCAGGCAUGAGCUGAAGACAUCUUCUCCUUUCUCCAUUGUCUAUUAAUGGAGGAAAACUCACCGUGGGAUGCAGCAGGUGAAGGAGUUCACCUCCCCUUCAUCUACAUCUUCAGUCUGUAGCAGCUGCAGAGCAGUUCUUGACAUGCUCUAUCGUACUGCCAGAUUACAUUUAGGCUAAGACAUUCCAUUAUGUAGUUUAGGUAAUGUAAAUUUAUUUUCUUUGGAAAAAAAU
ensembl:lncRNA